rnacentral:rRNA from 1 species
AUUGAACGCUGGCGGCAUGCUUUACACAUGCAAGUCGAACGGCGGCGCGGGCUUCGGCCUGGCGGCGAGUGGCGAACGGGUGAGUAAUACAUCGGAACGUGCCCAGUAGUGGGGGAUAGCUCGGCGAAAGCCGGAUUAAUACCGCAUACGACCUGGGGGUGAAAGCGGGGGAUCUUCGGACCUCGCGCUAUUGGAGCGGCCGAUGGCAGAUUAGCUAGUUGGUGGGGUAAAGGCCUACCAAGGCGACGAUCUGUAGCUGGUCUGAGAGGACGACCAGCCACACUGGGGCUGAGACACGGCCCAGACUCCUACGGGAGGCAGCAGUGGGGAAUUUUGGACAAUGGGCGAAAGCCUGAUCCAGCAAUGCCGCGUGUGUGAUGAAAGCCUUCGGGUUGUAAAGCACUUUUGGCGGGAACGAAAAGGACUGUGCCAAUACCACGGUUCGAUGACGGUACCCGCAGAAUAAGCACCGGCUAACUACGUG